rnacentral:rRNA from 1 species
CCUACGGGUGGCUGCAGUGGGGAAUAUUGGACAAUGGGGGCAACCCUGAUCCAGCGAUGCCGCGUGGGUGAAGAAGGCCUUCGGGUUGUAAAGCCCUUUAGGUUGGGAGGAAGUUUAUUAGUUGAUAAUGCUAGUAGAUUGACUGUACUGACAGAAUAAGCACCGGCAAACUCUGUGCCAGCAGCCGCGGUAAUACAGAGGGUGCGAGCGUUAAUCGGAAUUACUGGGCGUAAAGGGCGCGUAGGCGGUUAUUUAAGUGUGAUGUGAAAGCCCCG